rnacentral:rRNA from 1 species
CCUACGGGUGGCAGCAGUGGGGGAUAUUGCACAAUGGGGGAAACCCUGAUGCAGCGACGCCGCGUGAGUGAAGAAGUAUUUCGGUAUGUAAAGCUCUAUCAGCAGGGAAGAAAAUGACAGUACUUGACCAAGAAGCCGCGGCUAACAACGGGCCAGCAGCCGCGGCAAUACGGAGGUGGCGAGCGUUAUUCGGAUUUACUGGGCGUAAAGCGCUGGUAGGCGGUAUGUCAAGUCAAGGGUGAAAUCCCCGCGCUCAACGUGGGAACUGCCUUUGAAACUGGCAAACUGGAGUGUGUGAGAGGAUGGUGGAAUUCCAGGUGUAGGAGUGAAAUCCGUAGAUAUCUGGAGGAACAUCAGUGGCGAAGGCGACUAUCUGGCACAUAACUGACGCUGAGGAGCGAAAGCGUGGGUAGCAAACAGGAUUAGAUACCCCGGUAGUC